AUUGAACGCUGGCGGCAGGCCUAACACAUGCAAGUCGAGCGAGCGGCGGACGGGUGAGUAAUGUAUGGGGACUGCCCGAUAGAGGGGGAUAACUACUGGAAACGGUGGCUAAUACCGCAUACUAUCGGAUAACCCAUAUGGGAUUAGCUAGUAGGUGGGGUAAAGGCUAACCUAGGCGACGAUCUCUAGCUGGUAUGGGAGGAUGAACAGCCACACUGAGACUGAACAACGGCCCAGACUCCUACGGAGGCGGCGGUGGGGAAUUUUGCACAAUGGGCGCAGGCCUGAUGCACCCAUGCCGGGUGUAUGAAGAAGGCCUUAGGGUUGUAAAGUACUUUCAGCGGGGAGGCGUUACCCGCAGAAGAAGCACCGGCUAACUCCGUGCCAGCAGCCGCGGUAAUAC
rnacentral:rRNA from 1 species